GCAUAAAGAGGGAUUGGAGGAGUGGACAUUGUUCCAGAGGCACUGUUGUCCAAAAGGCAGCUGGUGUCCGGCAUUGGGGGAGGUCGCCUUCACCGGGCAUCUUCAGAAACAGUCCCCCAAGCUGUGCUACUACUACCUGGGCUUCUGUAUCCACUCCUGCCCCAAGAUGCGAUACAAGGCCGGUGGUAGCUGGUCCGCUUCAAAAAGCUGAGGUGCGGGAGGUCCCUCCGCCCCCCCUGGACAUUGAGGGGGCUCCGGCGUACGCAGUGCGAUCCAUACUGGAUUCCAGGUGUCGGGUGAGGGGCCUGCAGUACCUCGUGGAUUGGGAGGGGUACGGUCCGGAGGAGAGAUUUUCCCCGUCUGUUGUUGGUGGGUUUGGACUUAUAAUAAACGACUGUGCCAACUGGAAUUCCUUGCUCUCCUGCUCCUGACUCCUGCACCUACCUCUUCUUAGGAGGUACCUAACACAUGGACUGUGUGAAAUAAUAGGGAUUGACAUGA